CCUACGGGGGGCAGCAGUAGGGAAUAUUGCUCAAUGGGGGAAACCCUGAAGCAGCAACGCCGCGUGGAGGAUGAAGGUUUUCGGAUUGUAAACUCCUUUUGUUAGAGAAGUUAAUGACGGUAUCUAACGAAUCAGCACCGGCUAACUCCGUGCCAGCAGCCGCGGUAAUACGGAGGGUGCAAGCGUUAUUCGGAAUCACUGGGCGUAAAGAGCGCGUAGGCGGGAUAGCAAGUCAGAUGUGAAAUCCUAUGGCUUAACCAUAGAACUGCAUUUGAAACUGUUAUUCUAGAGUAUGGGAGAGGUAGGUGGAAUUCUUGGUGUAGGGGUGAAAUGCGUAGAGAUCAAGAGGAAUACUCAUUGCGAAGGCGACCUGCUGGAAUAUAACUGACGCUGAUGCGCGAAAGCGUGGGGAGCAAACAGGAGUAGAUACCCGUGUAGUC
rnacentral:rRNA from 1 species